UGAAUAUUGCUACACUCUCUGAGGAUGCAGAUGAAGACAUUGCAUUCCUAGGCUCAGUAACAACUAAUGUGGCUGGAAGCCCAUGGAUGGCUGAGAUAAAAAUUGACAAUUAUGAUGCACUGUUCAAAAUUGACACUGCAGCUGAUGUUACAGUUGUUCCUGUGACAUUGUAUAACCAGGGCCGGUUCAACAAAUUAAAACAUGCAGGGAAAAUUCUCCAGGGGCCAGGUGGAACGUCACUGAAUGUACAGGGGAAAUUUACAGCCACCCUCAGUAAACACAAUAAAUGGACAAAACAGGACAUAUAUGUUUUUGACGGAUUGUACAUGCCAUUGAUAGGCAGACCAGCAGUCGCUGCACUUCAGCUAGUAGCCAGGCUGGAUGAUGUCAGCUUAAGCUCAAAAGAAAGAGUGGAGAAGGAGUUUCCAAAACUCUUCAGCGGCUUAGGCAAAAUGGAGGGUGAGUACAGCAUUGUGCUAAAGCCAGGGGCAAAACCCUUUUCUCUGUCAACACCUAGGCGCAUUUCCCUCCCUCUUUUACCAAAGGUGAAGGAAGAAUUAACCCGAAUGGAACAGCAGGGGGUAAUUUCAAAGGUCGAGGAACCAACAGAGUGGUGUGCUCCCAUGGUCGUGGUGCCGAAGCGGACAGGGAAAGUGAGAAUUUGCACAGAUCUCACUGAACUGAACAAAUCAGUUAUGAGGGAAAAACAUCCUCUACCUUCUGUGGAGAACACGUUGGGACAACUUGCUGGAGCCAAAGUGUUUUCCAAGCUCGACGCCAAUGCUGGCUUUUGGCAGAUUCCACUUUCAAAGGAAUCCUCUUUGAUCACCACCUUUAUAACUACAUUUGGACGAUACUGUUAUAACCGUCUAUGCUUUGGAAUUUCUUCAGCACCAGAGCAUUUCCAAAAACGCAUGUCCAGAAUUCUUGAGGGACUGGAAGGUGUGGUCUGUCAAAUGGAUGACGUGCUUGUCUAGGGGUCCACUCAGAGUGAACGCGACGAGAGGCUGCGAAGGGCGCUCUCAAGACUUCAGGAAGCAGGUGUAACACUAAAUGAGAAAUGUGAGUUCUCCAAGAGAAAAAUCAAGUUUCUU
rnacentral:lncRNA from 12 species